UACAGAGGUGGCAAGCGUUGUUCGGAAUUACUGGGCGUAAAGGGCGCGUAGGCGGCCAGCUAAGUCAGACGUGAAAUCCCCCGGCUUAACCUGGGAACUGCGUCUGAUACUGGACGGCUUGAGUAUGGGAGAGGGAUGUAGAAUUCCAGGUGUAGUGGUGAAAUGCGUAGAUAUCGGGAGGAACACCAGUGGCGAAGGCGACUUCCUGGCCUGUUCUUGACGCUGAGGCGCGAAAGCUAGGGUAGCAAACGGG
rnacentral:rRNA from 1 species